rnacentral:rRNA from 1 species
CACGUAGGGGGCAAGCGUUGUCCGGAUUUAUUGGGCGUAAAGAGCUCGUAGGUGGUUCGGUAAGUCAGGUGUGAAACCUCCAGGCUCAACCUGGAGACGCCACUUGAUACUGCUGUGACUGGAGUCCGGUAGGGGAGCGUGGAAUUCCUGGUGUAGCGGUGAAAUGCGCAGAUAUCAGGAGGAACACCAGCGGCGAAGGCGGCGCUCUGGGCCGGUACUGACACUGAGACGCGAAAGCGUGGGGAGCGAACAGG